rnacentral:rRNA from 1 species
UACGGAGGGUGCAAGCGUUAUCCGGAAUCACUGGGUUUAAAGGGUGCGUAGGCGGACAAAUAAGUCAGAUGUGAAAGACUUCGGCUCAACUGAAGAAUUGCCUUUGAUACUGUUUGUCUUGAAUUAGGUUGAGGUCAGCGGAAUGUGACAUGUAGCGGUGAAAUGCAUAGAUAUGUCAUAGAACACCAAUUGCGAAGGCAGCUGGCUAGGCCUGAAUUGACGCUGAGGCACGAAAGCGUGGGGAGCGAACAGG